rnacentral:rRNA from 1 species
AUGAAGACAACUAAGGGAGGGAAAGUCAUGAAUCCCACCGACGCCUUCCGCAAGGAGCAGCGCAGGAAGGAGCUUAAGCGGAACAAAAAAGAAAGAAAGAAGGUACGGGAGGUUGGAAUUUUGAAAAAGGACCCAGAUGCUAUAAAGGAUCAGAUUGAGAAGUUGGAAAAGAUGAAGGCCGAUGGUGCUCUGGAUAAGGCUAGGAAACAUAAGAAAAGACAGCUUGAGGAUACUUAUAAUCUUGUUGUGAAGAAAAGGAAGGAAUAUGAAGAAAAGAUGAAAGAAAAGGGUGAGCAACCAGUUAUGUUCAGCCAUCUUGGACCACCAAAGAGACGGCCUGCAGCAGACGAAGAUGACAGAGCUAAAAACCCUAUGCCUGAAGAUUCUGUUUACUAUCACCCAACCUUGAACCCAUCUGGGGCACCACCACCUGGCAAACCUCCUAUGUACAAAUCAUCGAUAGGACCAAGGAUUCCAUUGCCUUCCUCAGUUGGUGCUGGGGCUUCAUCUUCCAUGACAGAAUCUGAAGAAGCAGGUCCUUCCACCAUGCCCCCUCCUCCACCGCCCCCUCCACUGCCAGCCUCUUCAGAACCUUCAGAUCUAUCUGUCCCUUCUUUACCUUUACCCCCACCACCGCCCCCACCCCCACCUAAGCCUGCUGGCGCUGUAAUAGCACCAGGCUUACCGCUGCCACCUCCACCUCCUCCUCCUGGUGCACCUCCCAGAGAACCUGUGUUAGAUUAUAUAUUACUGCCACCACCUCCUCCUCCACCACAGCGGCCUUUGCAACAACCACCUCUACCUGGUACAAAUGAGCUGCUUAAUAAACAAAUUGUUGGAGAGGGUGCAAGCUCGGCAGAUUCUACACAGGCUCCAGUUGUGCUACCUCCACCUCCACCUCCCCCUAGGUUGCCACCGAACUCGAAUGAAAUACAGGCUACUGACGAUACUGCUAUGGAUACUCCUGUUGUGAAAGAAGAUGCUAAAAUUUCAAGGUUCUUACCACCACCUCCACCGCAUCCAUCGCAGUUACUGCCUUUGCCUCCAAGGCCUCCAAUGAUGCCUCCAGUACAACCUGAUAUUCUAAGUCCAGGAAUGGUCAGAUUUCCUCCACCACCGUCACAACCAGAUUCAAGGCCACCAUUUAUGGCUCCUGGUGUUGCUGCCAGGCCCCCUCCACCUCCUCCAGCAUUAACUCCGGCUCAAAUGCCAAUGGCACCCUUUGGUGUACUUCCUGGUCCGUCAGCAAUGCUUAGGCCUCCAUUUUUUCCAGGACCCGAAUUUGCUGUUUUUGGCCCAAGGCCGCAGUUACCUCAGCAGCCAUCUUACGUCAAAUCGGCUGCUUCAACAGUUGUAAAGAGACCAUUAGCACAACAUACUCCUGAGCUAACAGCUAUGGUUCCUGCAUCAGUUCGAGUUAAGAGAGAAUCCGCUCUCCCUAAACCAAAACCAAAGGCGCAGCAGCAGUCAUCAGCACCAUCAUAUUCUGCUCUGAAGCCUUCAGUAACCCCCAUAAAAUCUGCAGCCCAGCCUUCACCCUCAGUUUCUAAGCCACAAAGCAUUGAUGACUCCUACAUGGCAUUCCUGGAGGAUAUGAAGCAACUGGGUGCCCUCGAUGAGUAG